CAAAGUGCUGUUCGUGCAGGUAGUGUGAUUACCCGACCUACUGCUGAGCUAGCACUUCCCGA
rnacentral:pre_miRNA from 1 species